rnacentral:tRNA from 1 species
GCCUGGGUGGCUCAGUCGGUUGAGCGUCCGACUUCCGCUCAGGUCACGAUCUCGCGGUCCGUGAGUUCGAGCCCCGCGUCAGGCU